rnacentral:snoRNA from 1 species
UGCAAUGAUGAUCCAAAUUUGCGAUUGAGUCCUUUGUCGGAGACCCUCGCCGGGGUUUCUUAACGGCCUCGGACCUAUGAUAUUCAAUUUCUUACAUAUUCUGAGC